UUGCUAUGAUGAAACUGAGUUUAUUGAUGGCAUUCAUAGAGUGCUUGAUGAUACUUUGACAUUCAUGUCGAAACUCAUCGGUUACCUGAACAA